GGCGCACGGUGGAUGCCUUGGCACUAGAAGCCGAUGAAGGACGUUACUAACGACGAUAUGCUUUGGGGAGCUGUAAGUAAGCUUUGAUCCAGAGAUUUCCGAAUGGGGAAACCCAGCAUGAGUUAUGUCAUGUUAUCGAUAUGUGAAUACAUAGCAUAUCAGAAGGCACACCCGGAGAACUGAAACAUCUUAGUACCCGGAGGAAGAGAAAGAAAAUUCGAUUCCCUUAGUAGCGGCGAGCGAAACGGGAAGAGCCCAAACCAACAAGCUUGCUUGUUGGGGUUGUAGGACACUCUAUACGGAGUUACAAAGGACGACAUUAGACGAAUCAUCUGGAAAGAUGAAUCAAAGAAGGUAAUAAUCCUGUAGUCGAAAAUGUUGUCUCUCUUGAGUGGAUC
rnacentral:rRNA from 1 species